UCCCCCUCGAGAUCCCCCCUGCCUGAUCCACCCAACCAGCUUCCACCCUCCUCCUUGAUUUCAGGCACCAGCCAACCAAAUCCAUUCCCUCAUCGAUCCACCCAUCCAACCAGUGCCACAUCACCUCCUCCUCCAUCCCCCUAUAGCCCGCGCCUUCCCGCAGCCUAGGACAAGCAGCUCGAGCUCCCGAGCUACUCCCGCGCGCCGUGGCCUCCGCCGGCGGCAGAGCGGCGACAAUAGCAGCAGCCCCGACCUCCCCUGCCUUCUUCCUCUCCCUUCCCUGUCGUUCUUCCUCACCUCACAUCUCCCCUUCUUUGUCUGUUCGAACAGGGCGAACAGGAGCUUCCGUCAUCGCAUCAUGGUGUCGUUCCCCUAUCAUGGCGCCCGAGCGCCUCAAAUUCGUCACCGCAUCGCUCCGGCGAGCCUGCUCGCUGGCGACCUCAACCACCAGGCCGCUCCUCUGCCCUUCCCUUUCCCCUCUCCUUCUGCCUAUCUCUCACAUGGUCUCUCUCUAUCACCUUCAUAGGAUACCAACGCUGACGCCAUGUACGCCGCCGCCCCGUGCUUCAUCUCUGCACCCCUAGAACGGCACGUAAUCGACCAGAUCUGGCGUCUUUCGCUCGGAUCCGUGCCUCCCCCAUGCCCGCGAGCCCGCGUCGGCCAUGUUCCUCAUUAGCGACGACGAACAAGGCAGCCAUGGCCCCUCCUUCGACCGAACCGGCACAGCCACGCGGGCGUUGACCGCGCCUUCCUCACCCGCGUGGACCGCGCCAUUCCUCCAGGCUCAGCUGGGCUUGGCCCAAUUUGCGCUUCUCCUUGAUAGUUCUGGUUACGUUGCGAUUGUGAGGACCCGUUCGACUAUGUUGGUCCAUCUACUUCAUGGACUCGAUCUUCUUCCUAGCGGGAUUUUAGGCAAGAUGACCGUCACCUUGGAUCUCACUACUAGCUUUGCUAUGCUAGUUAUCUCGAUGCUAUCGCUAUGUCGCGCUACCUACCACUUGUUAUCAAGCCUCCCAAAUUACCAUGAUAGCCUUUAACCCUUUUUCCCUUCCUAGCAAACCGUUGUUUGGCUAUGUUACCACUUUGCUCAGCCCAUUUUAUAGCGUUGCUAGUUGCAGGUGCAGUUGCAGGUUGUUCCAUGUUGGGACAUGGAUAUCAUGGAUAUUUUUGGGAUAUCACAGUAUAUCUUAUUUAAAUUAAUGCAUCUAUAUACUUAGCAAAGGGUGGGAGGCUCGAUCUUAUGCCCGGUGUUUUGUUCCACUCUUGCCGCCGUAGUUUCCGUCAUACCGGUGUUAUGUGCCUUGAUUUUGCGUCCAUAACACGGUGAGGGGUAUGGGACCCUCUUGAUAGUUCGCUUUUGUAAGUGCAUCUAGUGCCACCCCUAGUUGGUUUUCGAGUAUUGACGACAAACCUAGUUGAGGGACUAAUGUGUUUGUGAGAAUUGCAGGAUAACACAGGUAGAAGUCCCUCAUUGAUUCGGUUUUACUACCAGAGAUGACCCCUAAAACUUUAUGAAGACAUUGAAGUCAAAGGUGGUAUAUGAAGAUAUUCACGUUGAAGACUAUGACAAGAGAAGACACGAUAUGAAGACUAUGGAGCUCGAAGACUUAGAUCUUUCGUAGUUCUUUUUCUUUUAUGUUGAGUCAUAGGAACCACCGUACUGUUAAGUGGGGUCCAAGAGAACCAGUCAGAAUGACUGAAGUGAUGCCUAAACCAAAAAUCUAUGUCUUCGAGUGAAGACUAUGAGAGCGAAUCUUGUCCAGAGUCGGACAAUUCAGCUUUGCUUGUAGCCCAAGUAAAGUUGCCGUGUGAGUUUGAAAUCUGACCGUUGGAACACAUGUCAGUUCCUUCGUAACCCAGGGUCAUUUAGGACAAAUCAGGUCAGGUUGCCAAGUGGCUAUAAAUAGCCCACCCCCUACAACCAUAAACGGUUGGCUGCUCAGAUUGAAAGUACAGCUUUUGUCGUUUGAGAGCAACCCACCUUGAAGCCUUUGAGAGAGAACUCCUUGUGAGGAUAAAGCCCAAACCACCCAGAGCCAGAGAGAAUUGGGCAUCACUUAAGUCUUCUUGUCUGUGUGAUCUGAAGACUUAUUACCCUUGAGGACUGUGCAUCCUCCAGCCGGUUAGGCGUCGCGUUCUGAGCAUCUGAGAGACAUUGUGGAUUGCUGGUGAACGAAGUCUGUGAAGGUUUGGGAGUCUACCUUGAAGACUUACCAGGGUGAUUGGGCGAGGUCUAUGUGACCUUAGCUCAAGGAGAAUACGGUGAGGACUGGGUGUCCUGAGCUGCGUGUUCAGGACUGGGUGUCCGGGACUGUGUGUCCUAAGGUUUAAAUACCUAGCCGCUCCAACCAGACGUACAGUUGUCACAGCAACUUGAACUGGUUCAACAAAUCAUUGUCUUCAACGAGUCACUGGUUUCAUCUUCACUUCACUUUACUUACUAUUCCUCCUUGUGAAGUCAUUGUAUGUUUACUCUAUCAUUUGUCUUCACUGAGUGACUGCCUGUUCUGUUUGGCUUCACAAUAUCUUCCUACCUGAUCCUUACUACCUAG
rnacentral:rRNA from 1 species